rnacentral:lncRNA from 1 species
AGAGGAGGGGGAGGAGCAGAAAGAAGGCCAGAGUGGCUGGAGAUCGUAAUGGGGAGAGAGUUACAAGAUGAGAGACCAGCACCAGCUGAUGCGGCCAGGCCAGGUCCCAGAAGUGACUGUGUCAGGAUGGAGGGUGGCCCUGGGCAUCCUGCCAUUGAAAGCUGAUUGGAGCUGGACCAGCUUAGGCCAGUCUAGAGCUGAGGAGGUCAUGCGGUAGGACUGCUCAUCCUGGCCCCCUGCGGCUAGAUGGAUCAGGAGACCAGUUCUGGCCAAUGAGUGUGAACAGAAGGGACCUGUGUUAUUUAUGGGCCCAAGCAUGAUUGCUGGGUCAAGAUCUCCAUCAUUCUUUUCCCCUCCAGCUCAUAAACCAGCAACACUUGAGGUGGGAGCUUUUCUGAAUACAAUGAGCCGAAACUCCUCGCCCACCCACAAUGGACUUGUCGCGUGAGUGAGAAAUAAACUUGAGUUAUUGGAAGCCACUGAGCUGUUGGGGUUGUCUGUUACUGCAGGAGAACCUCGCUUGUGCUGACUGGUAGAAUUCUCACCCCUAUUUCACAGAGGAGGAAACUAAAGCACAUGGAGAUGAA